rnacentral:snoRNA from 1 species
AUGGUGGCACAGUUACAAUAUAACUGUAACUGUUCUACUGUCCUUUCCCCUGCUGAAAGCACUUGAUUCAUUACUAGUUUUGCCUAGCUCUACCAUAGUCAGACAGAGACACUUGGUUUCAAACAU